rnacentral:rRNA from 1 species
UAAUACGGAGACUGCAAGCGUUACUCGGGUUCACUGGGCGUAAAGGGUGCGUAGGCGGAUAGAUGUGUGAGGUGUGAAAUCUCGGGGCUCAACCUCGAAACUGCGCCUCAAACUGUCUAUCUAGAGUAUUGGAGGGGUAAGUGGAAUUUCUGGUGUAGCGGUGAAAUGCGUAGAUAUCAGAAGGAACACCAAUGGCGAAGGCAGCUUACUGGACAAAUACUGACGCUGAGGCACGAAAGCAUGGGUAGCGAAAGGGAUUAGAUACCCCUGUAGUCCAUGCCGUAAACGUUGUACACUAGGUCUUGGGGGUUUCGACCCUUUCAGGACCCCAGCUAACGCGAUAAGUGUACCGCCUGAGGACUACGGCCGCAAGGCUA